rnacentral:misc_RNA from 1 species
AGCGUUAACCGCGGAAUU